UCACAGGCGGGUCUGUCGCUUCCGGACAGCACGAGCUCAGCUGAGAGGAAAUGGCUCUAACGAGGCGCAAGAACAGCUUUUGCCAAGAUGGAGAAAUCUACGAUGCCCUGAUCGGGCUUGACAGAGUGAUCUGCUUGACGUGAAGCAGCGCUGACGAUGUCGAAGGCAGAAGCCGCUGUGCCCCUGGCGAGGUUCCUUCAUCAAGCUGACACCUAUGGAGGCGUUUGAGGAAGACACGACCGAAAGCGAAUAGAAGCCACCAGCGUGUCUUGGGGGUGUGUGAAGGGAAGUGGAGGCCGAAAUACAGUCUCUCCCCCACAAAAAUGCU